GACGAACGCUGGCGGCGUGCCUAAUACAUGCAAGUCGAACGCAGUGGGGACGGGUGAGUAACACGUGGGUAACCUCCCAUCAGAGGGGAUAACACUUGGAAACAGGUGCUAAACCGAUACUGAUGGAUGGACCCGCGGUGGAUUAGCUAGUUGGUGGGGUAACGGCUCACCAAGGCCACGAUGCAUAGCCGGCCUGAGAGGAUGACCGGCCACACUGGGACUGAGACACGGCCCAGACUCCUACGGGAGGCAGCAGUAGGGAAUCUUGGACAAUGGACGAAAGUCUGACCCAGCAACGCCGCGUGUGUGAAGAAGGCUUUCGGAUUGUAAAGCUCUUUUGUCAAGGAAGCGUUAUCUAAAGAGAAAGCACCGGCUAACUCCGUGCCAGCAGCCGCGGUAAUUC
rnacentral:rRNA from 1 species